GAGUUUGAUCAUGGCUCAGAUUGAACGCUGGCGGCAUGCUUUACACAUGCAAGUCGAACGGUAACAGGGAGCUUGCUCCGCUGACGAGUGGCGAACGGGUGAGUAAUGCGUCGGAACGUGCCGAGUAGUGGGGGAUAACGCAUCGAAAGGUGUGCUAAUACCGCAUACGAACUGAGGUUGAAAGUGGGGGACCUUCGGGCCUCACGCUAUUCGAGCGGCCGACGUCUGAUUAGCUAGUAGGUGAGGUAAAGGCUCACCUAGGCGACGAUCAGUAGCGGGUCUGAGAGGAUGAUCCGCCACACUGGGACUGAGACACGGCCCAGACUCCUACGGGAGGCAGCAGUGGGGAAUUUUGGACAAUGGGCGCAAGCCUGAUCCAGCCAUGCCGCGUGUCUGAAGAAGGCCUUCGGGUUGUAAAGGACUUUUGUCUGGGAGCAAAUACCCGGUGUUAAUAGCGCCGGGGGCUGAGAGUACCAGAAGAAUAAGCACCGGCUAACUACGUGCCAGCAGCCGCGGUAAUACGUAGGGUGCAAGCGUUAAUCGGGAUUACUGGGCGUAAAGCGUGCGCAGGCGGUUU
rnacentral:rRNA from 1 species